UUGCUGGUUUGUAGGGUAGCUCUAUUUUAAACUUUUUGAGGAACUUCCAUACUGUUUUCCAGAGUGGCUCCAUCAGCUUGCGAGAAUGGGUUUUCCCCCUAAUUUCCUUUUUGUUAUUGCUUUUGAACUAUCUUUAUUUCAGCCUGAGAAUAUAGUCUGUAUAUUAGUUUUCUGAAAUUUGCUGAGGCUUUAUGACUAAUAUUCAAAAAUUUUCCAUGCACAUUUCAAAAAUAUAUAUUCUGCAGUUAUGUGUGCAUGACAUCAAGUUUGUUAAAGAUGUUGGAAAUAUUGCUGAUUUUUUUUUGCCUCUCUGAGCUCUCAAAACAGGGAGAUUGUGGGUUUAUGGAUAUUAUGAUUGUGGGUUUAUUUGUUUCUCCUUACAAUUGUCCAUUUUAUUUUGAGAUGUUAUUAGAUGCAUAGGAGUUUUAGAACUUUGUGAAUUUUAUCUUUUAUCCCUAUAAAAGUGCUUUUUUUAUUUGUAGGAGUUGACAUAUAGAAAUACAUAUUUGCCUUAAAGUCUUACCUUGUCUGUAUUUAUGUUUUCAGUGUAUUUUUGUAAACAGUAUAUAGCAAGAUUUUUAAAAACCAGAUUUUCAUUAUUACCCAAAGAUUUAACUUACUUAAAUUUUGUGUAUUAUUGAUGCAUUAGACUUAUUUUUGUCUUAAUCUGUAAUUUUUAUUCCACCUUAUCUGCAUUCCUUUUUCCUCUUUCAUGCCUUCUUUUAGAUUGACUGAAAUCCAGCCUCCCCAUGCCCUCCUUCAAUGUUUUCCCUUGUUUUGGAAAUCUGUUGUUCUUUCUUUCCAGUUCCAGCUUCCGGCUCCUUCCCAGGCUGAGUGAGGACUUUUGGAUUCUGGAGCUGGAAAGUCUGGCAGGAGGUCAACUCCCAGUCUGAUCAAUGCUAUUAAAAGAGAUACCACACUUUAAGCUAUCAUUUUCCUUGCAACGUCACAUCUGGGAUUCCAUAAGGCCUGGAAUAGAGAGAACCUGCAGAGAGGAUUUCUUUGCUUCUCUCAUGUGACUGGGGACAUUGCCAAUUUGAGAACACGUUAUAUUAUCUGCUGAAGGUUUUAUUGGACCAUCUAGGUGGUACACAGCUUUGGAUUAGUCAUGAUCCUUACUACACGACACCCUCUUUUUAUUGGUCCUUGCAUGACCUGCUUGUUUUAGUGCAAAGUGACCACCAGAAGAACCUCUAAGCAAAAUGUAGAAUCCUGACAAAACCUACAUCUAACCAUAUGGAAAACUCACCAGUCUAUCCCCUUCUCAGGUAGCUGUCAGCAAGACUCCUGGGUUCAUCAGUCCCUUGCUUACCUUUUAAUCUAAUUUUAUUGCAUCUUUACAUAGUCUUAAAUGUGUACAUAUGUGUGUAUAUUCAUAUACAUAUAUUUACAUAUUUGUUUUUAACUGUAUAAAAAGAAUCAUGAUGUAUGUAAUCUUCUGGGACUUGCUUUUUUUCCUUAAUAUUAUGCUGCCAAAAUUUAUUUUGUUGCAUGUGUCUGUGGUUCAUUAGUUUCAACUACUGUGUAAUAUUCCCUCCUGUGAAAUAAUACCACAGUUAUUCAUUCAAUAAAUCUGUGCUGUUUACAAGUUUUUGGUUUGG